AUAAAUAAAGGUGAACAAACAUUUCUAAAAGUGCUGUAUUAGAUGCCAUCCUGAAGAGCAGUGUGUAUAUUCACUCUGAUUGUAAACUGCUUUGACUAAUGAUACAUUUGAUUAGAAGCACCUAGUAUGUUUGACUAAUGAGAAAGCAAUCAUGUGACGUCCAUCUCUUGAUCAUGCACUGCAUCAGGCCUGAGAAAGAGAACACGGUUCCAAACGCAGCUCAGAGCAACUUCCUGUUGUUCCACCAUUGAUAACUAAUGUGAUGUUCCUCUACAGGUGACGCUGGAUCACUGGAGACUCACAUCAGACAGCUGGAUAAAGUUCUAAACACCAGCUGCUUCCAUCUGCAGCAGACGGAGAACAUCAUACGCAGCCGGACUCCCACCGGCCCUGAGCUGGACGCCACCUACAUGGGUUAUAUGCGUCUUCUUGAAGAAUGUCGUGGCAGUAUAGACGCAGUAAAGCGAGUGGGAUUUGAGCUGAAAGAAGAGGAAGACAAGAUAUCAGGUUUCGUCAACCCCAACAGCUCAGAGUCCCAAACUUCAGGUGUGAUCGAGCGCUGGGAGCUGCUGCAGGC